CAGCAUUCUUAUUAGCAAGAAUUUACUCUGGAAUCAUGGCAUGAAGUGCCAGUGCAGCAUCAGCAGUAGCAGUAGCAGUAGUGGCAUUGAUGAGAGGUCAGUGUUUUCACUCACCUCGUCAAGCAAGUACGAAGUUGAUUAUUUGGGAGAGAAAACCAAAGGGGAUUUGAAUGUCAAGGUUCAAUAUAUAUGUGCAGACUCCCUUUUCGUCAAGACAAUCACCUCGCGGCAAUUUUUUGUAGAAGCACAUUAAAUCUUUGAUCAAUCAGUGCCAUUGGAUAUGAUAUGGACUACACCAUGAUGCAUGAUAAUGUGAUUGCUUGAGAAAGGAGAGCUUAUGAUUACUGCAUGGAGAAUUUGAAGAAAGGGGGUUUCCCUGUUUUCGGUCUUGCGUUUGACCCUGACUUGGUAGCUUCUAUAAGCAACUAAACCAUCCUUUCCCAUCCUUUCCCAUAGCUUAUUAGAGGCCUUGUCAUAGAUAAAGAGAAAGGCAAUUUAGUGAAGGCUGAUCGAUUUGGUUAUGUAAAGACGACUAUGCAUGGCACGAAGAUGCUAUCUGAUCGAGCUGUAAGGUACACUAUACAGCUUUUAUUUUUGGUUAGUCUCAUAGUGCAAAUGCA